rnacentral:tRNA from 1 species
UAGGAUAUGGCGUAACUUGGGGCAACGCGUUUGUUUUGGGUACGAAAGAUUACAGGUUCGAAUCCUGUUAUCCUAA